AAGUGGAGAAAAAAAAAAGAAAAAACGAAGGGAGACGGAGGAUCGCUACAGAGGGACCGGCGGAACUCGGGCCGCACAGCCGUAUAGGGUGAACGCCCUAUAGCCAGUUUCAGGACGAACGAAGUGAAAAGGGCCGUCAGGCAGCAACAACAAAGGAAAAUCUCUGGGGUGAAGAACGGCGGUAUAUAGAAACCGGAAGAAAGAUGCAGCCCUUCCAUAAGCUGACAGGAAAAAGUGCCCCUAAGUACCAGCUAAAGGAUUGUCAAUGCCAAGGAAAGGAUAUACAGGGGAAAAAAAAGAAGAAGAAGAAGAAGAAAUGGAAAAAAAGCAAAUAGGAAAAGAAAAAUAACAUGUAAAAGGAGCAGAAGAAGAAGAAGAAGAAGAAAAGGAAGUAGACGUGAAAGUGGAAGUAGAAGUAGAAUAAGAAGAAGUUGACUUCCGAGAGGGUAGCGCAAGAAUAGGUUCUUCACUCCGCCCCCGGUCUACCCCAACUGGCCCCCGGUGCAGAGCUGCCUGCCUCCUACCAAAAACUCAAAAGAUUUAUCGUCACUCUUUUGUUAUAUUCCCGGAACCCCCGAGGUGCACCGCACUAGAAUUUUUUUCCCCCAAAAAGGUGAAUGAAAAAAAAAAAACCAACAACAAAAUAAAAUAAAAUGA